rnacentral:rRNA from 1 species
UAGGGAAUAUUGCAAAAUGGGCGAAAGCCCGAUGCAGCAACGCCGCGUGGGCGAUGAAGGCCUUCGGGUCGUUAAGCCCUUUUUGAGGGGAUGAGGAAGGACAGUACCCUCAGAAUAAGCCUCGGCUAACUACGUGCCAGCAGCCGCGGUAAUACGUAGGGGGCAAGCGUUGUCCGGAUUUACUGGGUGUAAAGGGCGCGCAGGCGGGAUAAAAAGUCAGUGGUGAAAUCCUACAGCUUAACUGUAGAACUGCCUUUGAUACUUUUAUUCUUGAGUUCGGGAGAGAGAGACGGAAUUCCAGGUGUAGUGGUGAAAUACGUAGAUAUCUGGAAGAACACCAGUUGCGAAGGCGGUCUCUUGGUCCGACACUGACGCUGAGGCGCGAAAGCGUGGGGAGCAAACA